rnacentral:rRNA from 1 species
UCGAACGGUAGCACAAAGGAGCUUGCUCCUUGGGUGACGAGUGGCGGACGGGUGAGUAAUGCUUGGGAAUCUGGCUUAUGGAGGGGGAUAACUACGGGAAACUGUAGCUAAUACCGCGUAAUAUCUUCGGAUUAAAGUGUGGGACCGCAAGGCCACAUGCCAUGAGAUGAGCCCAAGUGGGAUUAGGUAGUUGGUGGGGUAAAGGCCUACCAAGCCGACGAUCUCUAGCUGGUCUGAGAGGAUGACCAGCCACACUGGAACUGAGACACGGUCCAGACUCCUACGGGAGGCAGCAGUGGGGAAUAUUGCACAAUGGGGGGAACCCUGAUGCAGCCAUGCCGCGUGAAUGAAGAAGGCCUUCGGGUUGUAAAGUUCUUUCGGUAGCGAGGAAGGUAUCAAAUUUAAUAGAUUUGGUAAUUGACGUUAACUACAGAA